CUCCCACGACGGGCCUAGCAAGGUUGACGCGGGGCCUUCUCAGCCGGCGAAGGGAAGGGGCGCUUAGAGAGAGGCGGAGGGAGGGAGAGAAGGAUCCGCCUAGGUUCAGCAACUCUCUACCUUCGUCGUAGUUAUAGCCGCGCACGUUCCUAUGCCGGGCCAUGGUGAACGCGGUGGUGGAGACCUGAGACCCUACAAUGAACCUUCUCCAAAAGCACAAUGUCACUGUUGAUAGAUCCUGCAUGAAGACACACACAAGAUGUUUUGCACCCCCAACCACAAAGAAGACAAGACACAUUCAAAUGGAGUAACCAUACAAGGUGUAGAAGAUAAUACGGCCAGCAGAUGCUGAAAGGACACGUGUAGAAAAGGAAGCAAAUAUUGAUCGCACAGGAUAUCAGUCCAACACCUAUUUUACCCCAAUGUCACUACAUCUUUUUUUUUCAUUUUCUGCAUAGAGCAAAUUAAAACUUUUGAAGGACAGAAAUAAUAAGACACAGCAUUCACAUAAUGCGUUUCAAGUGUUUAAAGUGCUAUAUAUAGUUUGGUUGCCACCCAGACUAACACUGCGCUGGUGCAACAAUGCCUGACAUCCAGCCUAAUGGUGUAGUGUUGUACAAAUGGGAGAAAGACAAUAUUUGACAAUCUCCCCUUUCCUCUGAAGCCACCGUGCCUCCUGAAAAUACAUCUCCGAGGUCGCACAGUCCUCAGAGUGAAGCACAGUGGGCUUCAGAAAGAAGAAGAAAUCAGCAAAAAUCACCCCUUCCUCCUCUCUUUGUGCAACAGCACAGGAAGUCAGGGAGCUGGAUGUCAGCCCUGUUGCACCAGCACAGGGCUAGUCUGAAUGGCAGCCAUUCUCUCAAUAUACCGUACAACAGCCUUGAAGGUAGGUCAAUAUUGUUACCUUCAUUUGGGGAGAAGUGGCUUGCCUGAGGACUUAUCUUAAAUUAAUGGCUGAUGUGAGAUUUGAAAUGGGGACUACGGUUGCUUAGGGUGUUCAUUAUAGAAUGCAUAUCUACUUGGAUAUUCAUUUGGAUUUGUACGUUACAUACCAGUGACUGCUUACACUUUAUUAACAGUACGUAACUCUGAAAAAAUAAGUAAGUUUAUGUGUUUUAAUUGUUUGCACCAGGUAACAAGAAGGAAAAACAGGAACAGUUGGUGCCCUGAAUGGAUGUAAUAAUCCAGGGAUUCCCCAAAUGCCCAACUCCCAUCAUCCACAGCCCCAAUGGCCAAACUCCUAUCACCCCCAGCCACAACUGGGCACCUCUGUAAUAAUAAAUAAGAAUCAGAGGAGGAGCCCAGGCUUUCCAGUUUGAGAUUUGUUAGAUAAGGCAGAUGACAGGAAAGAAAUAUGGUGAUGGUUACAAGCUCAUUAUUAUUAUUUAUUCGAUUUCUAUACCGCCCUUCCAAAAAUAGCUCAGAGCGGUUUACACAGAGAAAUAAUAAAUAAAUAAGAUGGAUCUCUGUCCCCAAAGGGCUCACUAUCUAAAAGAAAGAUAAGAUAGACACCAGCAACAGUCACUGGGGGUACUGUGCUGGGGGUGGAUAGCGCCAGUUACUCUCCCCCUGCUAAAUAAAGAGAAUCACCACGUUAAAAGGUGCUUUUUUGCCAAGUUAGCAGGGGAUUUUUUUUUUAAGCAAUUUAUUAUUCCUUUCUACUAAUAAAAGAAAACCGUCAAUUCCCCUGAAAGAUCAGGUAUGUAGCUUAGUCAUGCUCCUGAAUCCAAAACUCUCUGGUUUCUCAAGUUGAGGCAGUGUCCACGAGCACUUUUUAUUAGUUUUGGCUGAUAUGUCAGCUAUGCCCAUUUCUGGAGGUAAAUGACCUUAAAAUAGUGGUGCAUGUGCUGGUAACCUCCAGGUUUGACUACUGAAAUGCACUCUAUGUGUGGCUGCCUUUGUAUAUAAAUACAAUACAAGUCCUUGCAGCACAAAAAAGUGCCAGGGAGAAGUAAAACCUUUCUCCCUGAUAGUUCCAUGAUGAAAUUGGUUGGUAGGUUGGUCUUGUGCUACUUUUAGCAUUCAGUCAUGAGAUUCCUGCAACUGCAGUCCAAAGAGGUAUUAUUGUAGGUGAAUAGUUACCGCAUGUUUUUUCUGCAUAUUCAACUCAGCAUGUGAGUAAAAGGAGGUGAACACCUGGACAAGUGAUAAAUCUAGGAGCAGAUGUGCCAAUACUCAUUAAGGGAGAAGGGGAAAAGCUUAUUUCUAGGAAUUGGGUAUUGUAUCAUAUAAGCCUCUUCUGAACAUGAGAUGUAAACUUAGUCCUAAUGAGAGCCUAGACACAAGGAGGGUACAAUUUACAUGGAAUUAUUUUAGACAUUUGUUUUUACUGUUCUAUAUGAAAUGCUUAUCCUGGGAGAAAAAUCAAUAAGGUUAUGAAGUUGGUAGAAGAUUUGAAAGAAGCUUAUCCCAACCCCAUAGGCAUGUAGUAGAAUUUGGGGCACACCCAAAAAUUGCAUUAAAAGAAAAGUGUGUUUUGCAGUAUCUUCUGAUAAUGAAUAAAAUAUCUUCUGCAAAAAGGGCUGAAGCAGACCUUCAACCCAAAGCAUUUUUGUUUUGUUUGUAUUGCUAUCAUGUCUUGUGCAUAAGCUCACCCAGCAUCAUCUCACCAUCCGUGCCAACGCUUUUCUUAUGAGUCAGCAGAGAAUCGAAAGUCUGUUUUAAAAAAAGAGAACACAUUUCUAGGCCACAUUUUUCUACAAAUGCAGGAAAUAUAUGCGAAGGCCAGUUUCCCAGGCUCAGCUAUUCUCUAAUCAAAACCUAUAUCCUCGGUGGUCACUUUUGCACUUGUCUAGCUAUUGGAGGUGGUGGGGAUUGCCCCUGAUAGACAGAAACUUCAUUACUCCUCUAACGUCUAACAGCUGUGAUGAUGGGAUUGUUCUUGAAGGCCCUCUAAUCAUCACCUAUUUUUAAAUAAAAUAACCACAAGACUACUAAAACAUGGCUUACAGGUGUCCAACCAGUCAAAAUUGCAGGAGCUGUGAGAGUAGAAAAGUACUUUAGUCCUAGAUGUACCGUCAACAGAUGAUUUGAGCUAGUUUCCUGCCCUCCUUCCCCUUCCCCCAUAGAUAAUUUAGCCUAACUAUAUUGAAAGACAUGAUGAUUUAACAAGCAUGGUGAUGCUGUGAACUUAACUGUUUGUUUGCUUGGAAGGAGCUGCUUUAAACAACAUUUUGGUUGACUUGAAUAGGAGAGGUUUCCAGUAGAUCAGGCCUGCUCAACUUUGGCCCCCCAGCUGGUUUUGGACUACAACUCCCAUAAUUCCCAGCCACAGUAGACAAUAGCCAGGGAUUAUGGGAGUUGUAAGCCAACAUCUGCAGGAUGGAGAAAGUUGAAUAGCCCUGCAAUAGACUGUGGCCUUGAGAAGGAACCUGAGAAGUUUUACAAUGUCUGCAAAUCAGAGGUUUAAAUGAUGAACAUUCAGAAGUAUCUACAUUUAACAGUAACAAAACAACAACUCUUAUACCUGCACUAUGCCAGCAGCCUCUAACAUCAGCAUAAUGGUUGAAUAAUGUAGACGUCAAAAGAAAAAUGAUGUAUUUGCAACUUUGUCCUUCCAUCCCCUUUGCAGGAGUGUAUUUAUCUCUGGAGUGUGAGGCAGGUGCUUCUCAUAGUUCUGAAAAGACAAGUAUUGCCAACAUUUUCUUCCUAAGUUUCUUUUAUAAUUUGUGGUUGUUUAUAAUCUGUACAAAGUGCUCCCUUUUUAUGCAAUAUGUAUUUCAUUAUCGUUUCCAUUACUAAUGCAAAUGAUUUAACUCUCCCCUGCCCAUUCUGAAUUAACUCAGAAAUGAUUUGAGUUCUUCUCCAAAAACAUCAGGAAUAAUUUCUAUCAUUUUCUGCGUCAAUCUGCCCCUCCAAGUUGGCCGGAAGACCAAUGCAGACCAUGCUGUUAUCCUCUUGAGGACUCCUGUAGGUCUCAGAAGGGUGCUGGCAACACUAUCUCAGCAUUGCAAGAGUGACCAAUUGGAAAUAAAUUAUCAAAAACACAAGGUCAUGGCCUUCGCUAGAAGACCAAAGAUCCACUGUUGGAAUAGUGAUAGGCACAGAAUUGAGCAGGUUGCCUGCUUUACGUACCUGGGGGUGGUCCUUCAUGCCUCUGGCUCAAGAAGGGUCCACUGUGAACACGUUGCCCUAGCAGCACAGAGGAGCUCCUCUGCAAUCAUGAAGUUCCUGUGUACUAGAGUGGCCAUUACGUACCUGCAGAGCUCAAACUAUAUGAAGCCAAGUCAUUGGCACAAUUACUAUAUGGCACCCACCCAGGAUCUCCAUCCAAUCUUGCCAUACUGGAACGUGUUCGAUCUAAAUUCCUGAGAGGGACCUUACAAGUGCCUUGCUGUGUCUCCAAUGCCACUCUACAGCUGGAAACUGGCAUGAUAAAAGUGGAGGCGAAGGUUUGGAUGACAGUUCUCAACCACUGGCUCAAACUAGCCCUUUGCCCACGGGGCCUGGUCCUGCUAAUCUUGCAAAACAGCUUUCAGUCCUCAUGGAAAUAGGCAGUCUCCAACAAAGUGGCACAGCUGGGCUUCUCUCCGUCCAUUUUGCUUACAAUGGGCUGGAACAAGGCAAAAACAGCCAUCAAACAGAGGAUUCUGGACACAGAACGCCUGGCAGAUUUAAGUAAGGUGACAGGCUUUCUGGCCCUGGACAUUUGUAGGUUUACUGUCUCCCUCUCUGCAUAUCUGACACAAUUGGAAUUAGCAAGCCACAGAAGGGUGUUCAUCCUUGCCCGUUGUCAUGCCCUUCCCUCUGCCAUUCUGGAAGGCAAAUAUAAGAAAAUCCCAUUCAUGGAAGGGCUCUGUCCUUGUGACUUUGGGGAGAUGGAAACUAUAGACCAUGUGCUCCUGUCGUGUCCCUUUUAUAAAGCCAGUCGGGACAGGCUCAUAUCUCCCCUGCUUCUUAAAUACCCCGGCCGCUCUAGUCAAGUCUACACCAAGAUGCUGCUCUCAGAUGACAAUCGGUCCUUCAUGUACAAAGUUGCCAGGUUCUGUGGGGAAGUGUGCAAGAUCCGCAGGGUCCUGACCGCCAGCUAAUAUCUGGCAGCAGAUGUUUGACCUUUGACUGAGCAUAUCAUUUGCUUGACUGUAUAAUAAUUUUAAUUUGCCUUUUACUUCACUGCUUUUAUAUUGCUUUUUAUGUAACUUGUGUUUAUUAUUUUAACCAUUUUAUACUUUUAGUUGCCCUACUUUUAAGGAUUCAUUUACUCUGUUAAUUUUCCUACAGGUUUUAGGCUUAGCUGGUAGCAUUUUACUUCACUAAUUCCAUAGUUUUUAGAGUUGCAUUUUACUGUUAUAAUCGUACUUAGCUUUUAGAGUUAUAUUUCAUUUAGCAUGUGUUUUAUUAUAUUGUAUCUAUACCUUAUCCACUGAUGGUCUUUGACUGUAAUAAAGAUGAUUGAUUGAGCCAA